UGAAAGAUUGCAUAAACGAGGGGCAACAAUGUAUAAACAUAUAUCAUGAAAAAACAUACUAAGCAUUAUUAAUCUGCUUGCAAAGGAAAGUUAAACAUAAUGACAUGAACUGAAUUAACCAGUGCACACGACUAGGAAAAAACAAACAUCAUUUGUCAUCAAGUUUCUAAUUAAAUCAUGGAUGCAACUGGGCAUCGUUAUUAUAAUAGUGAAGGUGAACGUGCUGCUACUUCCCUCAUUCCCAACAUGAAUCAAGUACCUGCAUUGAGUAAUGCAAGAGUGAGAUGAUACAUCUCAGCAAGCAAAUUGUUUUGACGAGAUAUUUAAACCACAAAUUGAAUUAAACAACAUUUUAAAGGAAUCACAAUUGAGAUCAGAAAUACUUGUAGAUAUAGAACUCAAUAGUCCCAAUAUAACCAAUACCAUCUCAUUUCCUCGAACAACCACAAUAUGUUGUACAACCCUUUCCUGCGUCAACAAUACCUGCAGAUAUCACUUCAAUGUAUGCAUAUGAAUGCAAUGUGUAGGUCAUCUGCCCUCAUACCUCUUAGAGUAUAAAACCACAUCAUCUGCUAAUAUCACUUCAAUGAAUGCAUAUAAAUGCAAUGCAUAUAAAUGCAAUGCAUAUGUCCUCUGCCUUCAUACCUCUAAGGGUAUGAAGCCGCAUCGUACCCCUCCUCGGGCAACGUACGAUGCUAAGUUGUACCGGUACGGUCGGACCAUAGGUCACGACCAAACUUCAGAUGCAAAUGAAUCAUUUAAUGCAUAUGGCAUGCUGCAUUUAUCAAUACACUUCACUUCCUUUAGAUACAAAACAAACCUCAAAUAAUACUUCAUCUGCCUUCAGAUACGAUACAAACCUCAAAUAAUACUUUAUCUGCCUUCACGGGUGUAAAUUAAUCUCAUGGGUCAUACUCGAACCAUAAUCAUCAUCAAUAUAUGAUUGAGCAUCAGUAUAAUACAAUCAAGUAAAGCAUCACCACAGAGUUCAAUUAUGAAAGAAUUCCAUAAUUCUGAAUAUUAGAGUGUAGGCGAUAAAAAACAACAAGUCAAAACGGUAGAAACCACUGCUACAUUCACUUGCCUUCAUCGAGGAAGAAAGAUGUACUAGGCAUGAUCCGGAGUGUAGCCACCUGAUAGCGGGCAUAAAACUUAGUACAAAUAUUUCACAAACAUUUGCCAACAAUCAACAAAUCGCUCCUACACUUGAAACCAAGACCCGGUGGAAAGACUCCCACCCUGAACCACAUGCCAAACAACAGCAGCACUGUUUGUUAAUUUUGUAUCUUUAAAAUUAUAGCAGUGGUGAUAUUAAACAAAUACUCUAGGAGUGUAUACACAAAAUACUCUACAACUUCAGUAUUCAAUGGAUAAUUAAAUUCUGCCAUAUAUAAGUUCUAAAACAUCUGAUAAGAUAAAUGUCUGAAUCUGUUUCAGACAGCAGCAUAGUUAACUUCAAAAUUCAAUAUCUACCAAACUACUCAACCAAAAAUUAUGAAAUUCUUCUGGCAGUAAGAACUGUUAUCCCUCUACAAAUGUCUCCAUAGUUGGAACAGCCAAUUCGGCUAUUUACUAUAUGAAACCCACCAGUGAAUAGACCCGCUCAUUUUUGUCAGGCAAACAGGAACAGCCACAGUAAAACAACCAUAACUGGAGUUUCAUAAUUCAUAUGAAUGCGCUCUUUAACAAUAUGGAAAGCUUAUAAAAUUGUCUACAACUUCUUUUACAAUCCUAAAGUUUAAUUCUGUAGAUAAAAUUGCCUAAAUCUUAAGAGAACAGAUUCUGCACAGAAUUAUGAGACUGAAAAACUGCUAUAAUCAAACUGCAAUAACUUUCUGAUCUGAUGUCCGAUUGAGGUGUUCUUCGCGGCCACGGAAAGAUAUACAAAUUAUCUACGACUCAUAGACAGACGUUUUAUUUUUUUGAGGCCGCUAAGAUCACGGAAAACUGGCAUGAACAGAAACUGUUGAAUCUGCCAUCCUGCAGAAACUAAUUUCGAGAUCAAAAUCUAAUCUCCCAUCUAAUCCAACCAAAAAAACUAAUUGCAGGGCCUAAAACUCAUCCAAAACAAGAGAAAGCAUUCAUCAAGUGGAGAAAAGAGAGAGAGGAAAAGAAAUCCAACCAAUUCUUGGAGAGGAACAACGAUGAUGAGCGACGGUAUGCCCUCAUCUCCCCUCUCUUCUCUUCUUUUUUCUUCCUGUCAUCUCUUGGGGCAAGGCACAAAAGG
rnacentral:lncRNA from 1 species